GAGGGGACCUAGAUUUUAAAAAUCGUUUGUGCUUUUGAAAUCUUAGUGAAACUAAGCGUUUUCAAUCCAUAAAAAUUUUAACUAACACAUAAAAUUCAUUCAAAUCUCUUAAAACCUUAAAAAUGAUAGACUUCUAUUUUGCCCAUACAAAAGAAAGCAAUAGUGAAAUUUUAACUGAUAAAUAUUAAGAUGCUUUCUUCUUUAAGGAUUGUAGUUUCAAAUGUUUUUACACUAAAAACCAACUGACAGAUCUUUUAUGAAUAUUUGGAAAAUCAUCCUUCGCUUUUUUGCAGCCCAGAAAAGAAGCAAAAAGAAUCAUAAUAUGCAUUUUAUGUGGUGAUAUAAAAGAGUCCCAUGGUAAGAGCAGACGGAAAAUGGUAUAGUUAUUAUUAAUUUAGAAAAACAAAAGAGCAGCCCAGCAUUUCAGUAAUGUGGCAAGUUGUGUGCUCUUGAAGGAGAGAGGGUUUUAUAAUUGGAUUUUAGAGUAAUUUAGAAGACGAGAUAAGAUGUAAUGGUUGAGUAUUAGAGGUUAGAACUACAAGAGAAACCCAUAAUGUAAGGGUUCACUGCACUGGGGGACAACAGAACAAAGAGAAGCAGCGCCAACCGAAAACGGCCCCAGUGAGAAGCAACAAGUUGUCUCUGAAAAUGUCUCCUCAUCUGCCUUUGAGUGGUAUGGAAUCACUGCUGAGCCUCCACUAUUGGUGCCAUCAAAGACCUCAGUGAUGCCAAGAUUAAAGGCUGGAUGGUGAUGAGCAGAUUUCAUCUUUCUGCCAAGAACAGAUUGACCCUGAGCAAGGAUAAAAAGGCCAGCCAUAAGGAGACAUGACAAAUACCAUUGAGUACUGCAGAGCAACUUGGCAGCUGCCCGAGGUAGAGCAUCUUGUUUACAUCACCACGCCAAGCCAGGAAGCAGAGUGAGGCUUUAGUCCCUGAGGCAUUAAGUCCUCACCCUGAUACCCCAAUCCAGGUCUAGCCACCUCUCUCCAGACAUAGUCCUGAGCAUAACAGCUGUGGAGAUCAGUUGCCUUUUCUGCGAAAUUGUCAUUAAACCAUGAGUAAUUUGGCACUAUUUUCUGCAUGAUUUGUCCUCUCUGAAAAUAAGCAGACUCAGGCUUGUGAAAAUGGAAAUUGAUUUACUUUCUAUCCUUCUUGAGCUCAUCUAUUUAAGGUCUACUUCUUCUGGGAUGUGCCAGGAGACUGCACUACUUUCAAGUGGUGGAAAUUUCUUAAAAAAAAAAAAAUAAAAAUAAGCUGAAGGAAACUUGGAAUGAGAAUGCACUUGGCUAAUUGGUUUGCCAUCUAGCACUACCUCUUUCUCUAAGCAGGGAGAAUCAAGCCGCUGUCUGCUUGAUGGGGCAGUGGCAGCCUCGUGUAACCUCUGUAGUUAUCUUCUGACUACUCAGCUGAAUCCACUGCAUUCUACAUAUCUUUCUUAUUUAACGUAGAGUAUGCAUUUAAAAAUAAUAUUUCUGUAAACCUUAUCAAGCAAAACAUGGCAUGACUCGAUGCCAAAUUAUAGUGAUGAUUAUUUUAAGAAGAAUCACAGCGCUUUGGCCCAGUUUUUGGAAAAUGUGAUUAAUAGCACUGCCAGUGCCUUCUAGUGAGCCAGCACCACAAACUAGCUAUUUGAUUUCAUAACACAGUGCUGUUGUGAUCACCAAAGCAACACUAUCCGUUUAGGUGCUGGAUUAGAAUCCAGGCGAGUCCGCAGUAUAGUCUUUACACUUCAUCAACUUCCACACAGGACAUAAAUUGUACUAAUAUAGUAAUAUACUGAAAUCUCAGACCAACUGUUUGUCAUCGGAUUAGAAUGUGAUGACACAGAAUAAAGAUGUGAGACAGAAUCUGUGCUGAGGUCUAAAUUCACAUUGGAAGUCUGGGAAGAGAAGACUGUUUAUAAAAUUAUAGCCCAGGAAUUGCUGCCAAAGUCGGCCUUUGGUGCAGCUGUAAGUCGGAUGGAAUCCACCUUCCUGACGUCAGACCCACCCACUGGAACACUGCUCCUCUGACUGGGGCUUCCCUGAAUGGAAACUACAUGUCAUACUGCAAAAGGUAAGGAACCCAGUGAGAAAGACAGAGAGAAGUAUGGACAAGAAACAGAUCCUAAACCUGUUUUGUUUUAUUUUUGGUAGUAGUUGUUUAUUUUUGAAAACAUUCAAACCACCUGUAUUGGUGGCUGUUAUUAUGAAAUAAAUAAACUGAGAAACAACAAGACAAUUUGGCCUCUACAAUUUGUUUAGUUUUGACUAAGUAUUUGCCUUGGAAGAAGUAUGUGUACAAUACUCAUUUUUAAAAGAUGCAACAGUCACCUCGUUACUUGGAGUUUUACUUGAGACUUGAAUGGACUGAAACCACCUGGUCACCACUAGAAGCUACAUCAAGGAAAAGAAAGGCAACAUAUUGAAUCUCUUGGGAGAAACUCAUCCUGUAUCUGCUCGAUUGAAAACAUGAAGGUGCACAUUCCAAGCUGCAUAUGCUCAGGUCCGAGUUUCCAAGGAAACAAGGGACUGCUCAUCUAUCUGCAAAACUGAACUGACGAGUCACUUUCAGCUUGUUACAAACCUUGAUUCUGAAUCAAAUUCUAGUGUGCAGUCUAAAAAUUCUCACUGCCUUGUCAUUUCUGCCGAGCAAACCCCUGAUGCUAUGAGGCUGGCAGUUGGGCAGGGAUUUUCCUGGGUUGUGCACUCUAAUUUUUUCCUCUGCACUGUUAGUGAAAUACUGUCAUUGAGAACCAGCUCCACACUGCACCUAUGUGAGAAAGGCCUUGGUUUCUAUCAGUAAAGUCAGACAGGGCUAUGUGCAUUUGGGAUGCCCUGGUCAACCAUACAGGAGGAAGCACAGUGGUCUUCCCAGCUCUCACAGUGGCCACCAGCUCUCAGGCUCACAAACUAGGCAAAGCAAAGAGCAACAGAACAACCUACUUCCCAACUUUCAUUAGUCACUCAAAUCCAAGUGGGUGAUCGUAUUUCUGAAGGUCUUGAAUACAGGACUUCCUGACCAUUCUUUAGCAUUUACUGAUGAAAGUAUUUCAGAUGUGUUAUGUUGUUUGGCAUGUGUUAUGUUGUUUGGCAAUCACAGUAAGUGUUGAGAUAGAUACUAUGAUUAUCUUCAUUCUCUAGGAACAGGCACAGAGAGGUUAAGUAAUUUCCCAAAGGUCACACAGUUUGUAAGUGAUAAAACUGAUUUGAAGCCAAACUAUGUCACCCCAAACUCAUAUUUUUAACACUUUAUUCCAUCUUCUAAAAGGCUGGCUAUUCUAUUUUUCUCUAAGUUUCAAAUUAGUAUGCCCAUUCCCUUGUUCAUUCAUUCAUUCAUCCAACAAACAUGUGUCAGGCAUCUAUGCCAGGCUCUGUGGAUAUAGUAUAAUAACAAACAAGACAGAUAAGAUUUCUCAGGGAGCUUACGUUUUGUAGAGGAGACUAAAUAAAUAAGCAAGCACAAACAAUGUAGAGUUUGUAAUAUUACCUAUCCCAGCAAAGGAAACCAACACUAGUGUGAGAAAAUUAAAUUAUAAAAGACCCUAACAUUUUCAAGAUACUGAAGGGGAUGAGAUGAAGCAGAGGUAGAGUGGGGCUGGAUUAUGCUGAAACACAUAGAACAGACUGGAUUCUAUUUUAAGUGAGGUGAUAAAUUCUUAAGGGUUUGUCAUUUUUGAGGUAGAACUGUCUUUUGUUCCUAUUGUAAAGAAACUACAUAGGUAGGCAUAAAAUACACCUGUAUGCCAGAGAUAGAAAAAUUCAUAUAAUUCCCAACUCCAAUUCUAUUUCUCUAGGAUAAUUUUAAUUGUGUAUAUGAAACAUAUCUCAAUGUUCUUGAAAGACUGAAAUCCACUCUUUUUAUUAUUUAUUGACUUAUUGAUUUGUGGUUAAGGAAAAAGUAGACUGAAGUAAAAAUAAAGAGUGCAGGAGUAUAAUUGCACAAGAAGUGGGAGGGAGACUUGUUGAACAGGCAACAGCCUAAAGUGAGUAUCCAUGAGUGGGCUCAGUAUGACCCUGCAGCUCCCCCAUCACACUUGCACCCACCUCAAGGAAUCCAGUUCACCUCUAUGGAAAAUCCCUGGGCUCCACGGGACAGAGUCUUGUUUUGUUUUACAUCUGUGUGUCCAUGCCUAGCCAGUAUCUUGUUUAGUGCAGCCUUUCCAUAAUAUUUGUGGAGAGAAAGAAAAAUGAAAGGAAGAAGAGAGGGAGGGGAAAAAGAAAGUGAGAGGAAAGAAGAAAGGUAAAAAGGAAGUAGCACUCUUGGUUUUGCUUCUCCUUGGCUGUUUCGUUAUUCUCAGUACUCCCCAACCCAUCUUCCUGGGAUAAGAAAAAAAAAAGACAUCUAAAAUGACACUUCCAAAAGAUUAAUAUUUUCAUUUCAACACUUCUGAAAGUAUUUCAAUGAAAUUGCUUUCAAAUGGUUUAUUUUAUAUUAGAUCAUUGAGAGAUAGAUUAAUGUCAUAAACGUAGGUACUAGCAAGCAAUAUUUUUGUCUCCUAUGUGCACAUAUUGUAUAUUUCAUAUCCUCUGAUAACUUGAAGUCACUAAUUUAAGUCAAAUUAGGGAAAGGGCAGUAUAGUAAUUGCAAUAUUUUCGGCUCCUUCUUGGUAACAAAUGCAGCUUCUUUUUUCCCCUCCACCCAUAUAUGAGUCUUCUUUUUCUUUGGCUAAGAUAUAAUAGCACUGCUCUACAUGAACAAAACUAUUUUUACUGGCUAUGUUAUUACUGAGAAAUGCAUUGGGAAAAUGUAAAAAUAUUUCACCUUUAUGUUGAAGAAAAUAAACACAGUGGAUUAGAUAAAAUUUGCACAGCUCUUGACAUGUGCCAUAUGUAACAUUUGGGAAACAUCAAAAAAGAGGCUCUGACUUCUUCGGAGAAUCAUAGACUCUGGCACUGGAGGGGGACUGAUCCACCACCCCACCUCACUCCAGCAAUUUGGGCAAACAAGACCUAAAGAAAUUGAAGGAUAAUCUAAAGUUUACAUUAUUAAUGGAAGAAACAAGACCAGAA
rnacentral:lncRNA from 1 species